rnacentral:rRNA from 1 species
AUGAACGCUGGCGGCGUGCUUAACACAUGCAAGUCGAACGAUGAUCCGGUGCUUGCACCGGGGAUUAGUGGCGAACGGGUGAGUAACACGUGAGUAACCUGCCCUUAACUCUGGGAUAAGCCUGGGAAACUGGGUCUAAUACCGGAUAUGACUCCUCAUCGCAUGGUGGGGGGUGGAAAGCUUUAUUGUGGUUUUGGAUGGACUCGCGGCCUAUCAGCUUGUUGGUGAGGUAAUGGCUCACCAAGGCGACGACGGGUAGCCG